rnacentral:rRNA from 1 species
UUCGCCUACGGGAGGCAGCAGUGGGGAAUAUUGCACAAUGGGGGAAACCCUGAUGCAGCAACGCCGCGUGAAGGAAGACGGUUUUCGGAUUGUAAACUUCUGUUCUUAGUGAAGAAAAAUGACGGUAGCUAAGGAGCAAGCCACGGCUAACUACGUGCCAGCAGCCGCGGUAAUACGUAGGUGGCAAGCGUUAUCCGGAUUUACUGGGUGUAAAGGGAGCGUAGGCGGUAAUGCAAGUCAGAAGUGAAAGCCCGGGGCUCAACUC